CCUACGGGAGGCAGCAGUAGGGAAUUUUCGUCAAUGGGCGCAAGCCUGAACGAGCAAUGCCGCGUGAACGAGGAAGGUCUUCGGAUCGUAAAGUUCUGUUGAAGGGGAAAAAGAGCGGAGAGAGGAAAUGCUUUCUGAUUGAUAUUACCCUUCGAGGAAGUCACGGCUAACUACGUUCCAGCAGCCGCGGUAACACGUAGGUGGCGAGCCGUAUCCGGAUUGAUUGGGCGUAAAGGGUGCGUAGGCGGCCUGAUAAGUCUGGAGUGAAGGUACCGGCUCAACCGGUACAGGCUCUGGAAACUGGCGGGAUAGAGAGCAGGAGAGGGAGGUGGAACUCCAUGUGGAGCGGUAAAAUGCGGAGAUAUAUGGAAGAACAUCAGUGGCGAAGGCGGCCGCCUGGCCUGUUAACUGACGCUGAGGCACGAAAGCGUGGGGAGCAAAUAGGAUUAGAUACCCCGGUAGUC
rnacentral:rRNA from 1 species